UGGGGAAUUUUGGACAAUGGGCGAAAGCCUGAUCCAGCAAUGCCGCGUGUGUGAAGAAGGCCUUCGGGUUGUAAAGCACUUUUGUCCGGAAAGAAAUCCUUGGCUCUAAUACAGUCGGGGGAUGACGGUACCGGAAGAAUAAGCACCGGCUAACUACGUGCCAGCAGCCGCGGUAAUACGUAGGGUGCAAGCGUUAAUCGGAAUUACUGGGCGUAAAGCGUGCGCAGGCGGUUUGCUAAGACCGAUGUGAAAUCCCCGGGCUCAACCUGGGAACUGCAUUGGUGACUGGCAGGCUAGAGUAUGGCAGAGGGGGGUAGAAUUCCACGUGUAGCAGUGAAAUGCGUAGAGAUGUGGAGGAAUACCGAUGGCGAAGGCAGCCCCCUGGGCCAAUACUGACGCUCAUGCACGAAAGCGUGGGGAGCAAACAGGAUUAGAUACCCUGGUAGUCCACGCCCUAAACGAUGUCAACUAGUUGUUGGGGAUUCAUUUCCUUAGUAACGUAGCUAACGCGUGAAGUUGACCGCCUGGGGAGUACGGUCGCAAGAUUAAAACUCAAAGGAAUUGACGGGGUCAGCUGUUU
rnacentral:rRNA from 1 species